GCGGAGGUGGUUAGUUGGAGACGCAAGGGUUUGUGACGGCGAAAGAAGAAACGAACGGUGGUGGUCCGGUAGAAUGGAUUUGAUCGGAAGUGAAGAAGGGUGAUAUCGUGGAGUUGUGGUGGUGGAGGGUGAGUGGUCUUGGCUUGAAGAUGGAACGCAGAACGACGAUGCUCGAGUCGAAAGAUGAAGAGCGGAAGCGAAUCAAUUCCGAAAAGG
rnacentral:lncRNA from 1 species